rnacentral:rRNA from 1 species
GCUGCUCUUGCAAAAGUACCCUGACACAGGAAGCAGGCGGGAGCUGAUCAAGGAAGGUAAGUUCAGUUGGGCCUAGCUAGUACUUGGAUGGGAGACCAUCAGGAAAUCUGAAGGCUACAGGC